GGGCAAUCAAAGACACCAUAUCAACCUAGGAAGGACUAUCUGCGGUAAGGAUCAAAAAGGAAAUUGAGAGGGGGUUCUUGAGACAAAGAACAAGGAUUAAACAGAAACAAGAAGUCGACAUCUAAAAGAUAAAUCUCAGAUAAGCUAAUCAUCCUAUUCACUCAAUUAGUUAAAAACAGAAAUACAUCUUUUUGUUUUUAGAU
rnacentral:lncRNA from 1 species